GCCAGUGUGGUGUAGUGGUUUGAACUUUGGACUACCACUCAGGAGACCAGGGCUCAAAUCCCCACUAAGCCA